GUUCUUCCACCAUGGUUCCCACAUGUUCAGACAUAUCAAAUGAUCCAGGUUCUUCCACCAUGGUUCCACAUGUUCAGACAUAUCAAAUUAUCCAGGUUCUUCCACCAUGGUUCCACAUGUUCAGACAUAUCAAAUGAUCCAGGUUCUUCCACCAUGGUUCCACAUGUUCAGACAUAUCAAAUGGUCGAGGUUCUUCCACCAUGGUUCCCACAUGUUCAGACAUAUCAAAUGAUCCAGGUUCUUCCACCAUGGUUCCACAUGUUCAGACAUAUCAAAUGAUCCAGGUUCUUCCACCAUGGUUCCACAUGUUCAAAUUAUUUUAAAGGCGGCCUUAACUCUGUAUAUUGUUGAAUUGACCCCAUGAGUCAUGAAAUGUGGUUUAAGGGGGGAAUCAGCAGUUUCUACAUUCAUUUUUGUCUUAUAAAUGUAUGUGUACCCAGUCUCCAGUGGUGGGAAAAGUACUUAAUUGUCAUACUUCAGUAAAAGUAAAGAUUCCUUAAUAGAAAAUGUAAAAGUGAAAGUCACCCAGUAAAAUACUACUUGAGUAAAAGUAUAAAAGUAUUUGGUUUUAAAUGUACUUAAGUAUCAAAAGUAAACUUGAAAGAAAUAAAUCAUUUCAAAUUCCUUACAUUAAGCACACCAGACGGCAACAUUUUCUACUUAUUUUUAAUUUUUACGGAUAUCCAGGGGCACACUCAAACACUCGGACAUACGUUACAAAUUAAGCAUUAGUGACUCCGCCAGAUCAGGGCAGUAGGGAUGACCAGGAUGUUCUCUUGAUAAUUGUGUCAAUUGGACAAUUUUCCUGUCGAAACGUUACAAGUACUUUUGGGUGUCAGGGAAAAUGAAUAUAGUAAAAGGUAAAAAAAUAUAUAUAUAUUUCAGAAUGUAAUGAAGCAAAAGUUGGCAAAAAUAUAAAUAGUAAAGUACAGAUACCAAGAAAAACGACUUAAGUAGUACUUUGAAGUAUUUUUACUAAAGUACUUUCCAUAGAGUGGUCAUAAUAGUUUUGUAGGCCAAAACAUUCGGAUGCUAAAGCCGUUUCCGUGAGAAGACUGAUUUUCGAGAUGUCUCGUGGUCUGACAAA
rnacentral:lncRNA from 1 species